rnacentral:rRNA from 1 species
UUGACGGUACCCUACUAGAAAGGAGCCGCUAACUUCGUGCCAGAAGCGUCGGUAAUACGGGGGCUCCAAGCGUUAUCCGGUGUUAUUGGGCGUAAAGAGUCGUGUAGGUGGUUGGGUAAGUUAUCUUUCAAAUAUCUUUGCUUAACAAAGAGGAGGGGGAUAAUACUGCUCGACUAGAAUUUUCUCAAGGGAGAUCGGAACUGAGGGAGGAGUAGUGAAAUGCGUUGAUACCCUCGGGAACACCAGUGGCGUAGGCGGAUCUCUGGGAGAAGAUUGACACUGAGACACGAAAGCUAGGGGAGCGAAGCAGAUUAGAGACCUGCGUAGUCCUAGCCGUAAACGCAUGCUUGCUAGCUGCAUGAAUCUACCUUCGGGUGGUAUCGUGUGGCGAAGGUAACCCGUUAAGCAAGCCGCCUGGAAAGUACGGCCGCAAGGCUGAAAUUCAAAGGAAUUGGCGGGGAGGCACACAACCAGUGGAACAUGUGGUUUAAUUCGAGACUAACCGAAGAACCUCACCAGGGUUUGACAUGUAGCUGCACGUCUUAAGAAAUUAAGACUCUCUUGAAGGUGCUACACAGGUGCUGCAUGGCUGUCGUCAGCUCGUUCCGUGAGGAGUGCCCUUAAGUGGGACAACGAGCGCAACCCCUAUUACAUGUUAGAAAUGUCAUGUAAGACUGCCUUGCCAUUUGGCGGGGAGGAAGGAGGGGCAGACGUCAAGUCCGCAUGGUCCUUAUGCCCUGGGCUACACACAUGUUACAAUGAGUACGGCAAUGAGUCUGUCGCGAGCACGUAAGUGUAAGCUAAUCUCUUAAAUGUACUCUCAGUGGGGAUUGAGGUCUGCAACUCGACCUCAUGAACACGGAAUUGGUAGUAAUCGCGGGUCAGCUAUACCGCGGUGAAUACGUUCUUGCCUCUUGCACACACCGCCCGUCAAACCAGCAGAGU